AUAGGGAGUCGGACCUGCCCAGUGAAAUUUUUUAACGGCCGCGGUACUCUGACCGUGCAAAGGUAGCAUAAUCAUUUGCCYUAUAAUUGAAGGCUAGUAUGAAUGGUUUGACAAGAAUAUCGCUGUCUCUUUAUAAUUUAUUAGAACUUUAUUUUAAGGUGAAGAAGCCUUAAUAAAAUUGAUAGACAAGAAGACCCUAUCGAGCUUUAAAAAAAUUAAUAGAUUUCAUCUAAUAAAAUUAAAAAGUCAACUAUUAAAUAUUUUGGUUGGGGCGACUGAGGAACAAAUAAAUGCUUCCUUUAUCAUAUAUAAACAUACAAGUUUUGAUCCAAAAUUUUUGAUUAAAGAAAUUAGUUACCGUAGGGAUAACAGCAUUAUCUUUUUUAAGAGCUCUUAUCGAAAAAAAGGUUUGUGACCUCGAUGUUGGACCAGAAUAUCCUAAAGAUGCAGAAGUCUUUAAGGGUUGGUCUGUUCGACCAUUAAAAUUCUA
rnacentral:rRNA from 1 species